ACGCACGCUGGCGGCGUGCUUCACACCUGCAAGUCGCGCGGAAAGGCCCUUCGGGGUCCUCGAGCGGCGAACGGGUGAGUAACACGUGAGUAACCUGCCCCAGACUUUGGGAUAACCCUCGGAAACGGGGGCUAAUACCGGAUACGACACAGCUUCGCAUGGGGUCUGUGUGGAAAGUUUUUCGGUUUGGGAUGGGCUCGCGGCCUAUCAGCUUGUUGGUGGGGUGAUGGCCUACCAAGGCGACGACGGGUAGCCGGCCUGAGAGGGCGACCGGCCACACUGGGACUGAGACACGGCCCAGACUCCUACGGGAGGCAGCAGUGGGGAAUAUUGCACAAGGGGCGGAAGCCUGAUGCAGCGACGCCGCGUGAGGGAUGACGGCCUUCGGGUUGUAAACCUCUUUCAGCAGGGACGAAGCGUAAGUGACGGUACCUGCAGAAGAAGCGCCGGCCAACUACGU
rnacentral:rRNA from 1 species